rnacentral:rRNA from 1 species
UACGGAGGGUGCAAGCGUUAAUCGGAAUCACUGGGCGUAAAGCGCGCGUAGGUGGCUAUUUAAGUCAGAUGUGAAAGCCCUGGGCUCAACCUGGGAAUGGCAUUUGAUACUGGAUAGCUAGAGUAUGGUAGAGGUGAGUGGAAUUUCAGGUGUAGCGGUGAAAUGCGUAGAUAUGUGGAGGAAUACCAGUGGCGAAGGCGGCCUCCUGGCUUAAUACUGACGCUGAGGUGCGAAAGCGUGGGGAGCAAACAGG